rnacentral:lncRNA from 1 species
UAUGAUAAAGUACGUAUAAUUUUUUUAUCUUUCAAUAGGAUACAUCUACUAAUAAUGUCUUGAUCUGGCUAAAAGAACUUUCUUUGAAAGAUGAAUAGCCAGAUGCACUAUAACAUCAAAAAAUGAUGGUGAAAAAAAUUUUUUUAACUUACAAAGAAUGAGUACGAUAUCUUUCUCAAAUUUUUUAAUUAAAUUAUUCUUCAAUUUUUGACAACACAGUU